rnacentral:lncRNA from 1 species
CACCUAUCAACUGCGCCACAAGCCACAGUCAUCCUGGAGGACCAGAAGGGGGGGAAGAGGCAGACUGGGAUGGAGAACCACUCACCAGAACAAGAUGGAGUGACAUUUGACAUGCUGACUAAAACUAACAGAAGGAUAAAAGUAGGAACUCAAAUGGCCUGAUUGUUCCAGCAAUCAUAAUAAUUUUUGAUUGCCUCACAAGACAACCAGCCAGACAUUCAUCCCUGAAGACCAGAAGGAGGAGGAGAGGCAGGCAUUUGGCAUGCUGAACAAAACUAACAGGUACAUAUUCUGUUCUCAGCAAAUUCUUUAAGCUUCUCCACAGAAGCUUGGAUUUCAUUUCUGGCAAUUCUCUGGGAAUUCUACAACACACAGGGACAGAAGGUCUUUGGUGGUUAAUUUGAACAAGGGAUAUUAAGUUAAAACAGAACGUUCUGUCUAUCAUGUCACAAAGAAGAGUUUUUAAUAAAGGAAAAAGCAAAGCAGCACAAGGGCCAAUAAACACAGAUGGCUUUAUCUGGGCUUUAUCUGGGUAAGAUCAGUCCCAAUCAGCCCAGACCAAACCGUAUUCAGGUCUGGAUCAUAAGGACUUGAAUCGGUGAAGUCUACCAAGGGGACCGUGACAUCACAGUAUCAAUCAUUUUGUGACUUCACCAGAAAAAAAGGAACAGAACAUCCACAAUCAGAUACCAGUAUGAAUUCAUAUGAUCGGAUUGUACCACUGGCCAUAAUUUUUCCCUUUCCGGCUGUCCUUUCCACCAGAAGCAACCAACCAACCAGUCAACCCUGCAGACCAGAAGGAGGAGGAGGCUAAUUGGGACACUAAUUGGGAGAAACAUUCACCAGAACUACAUGGUUGUUAAUUUGAACAGGACUUAGGGAAAUUAAGUUAAAAUAGAAGGUUCUCUCAUAUGGUCUAUGUAUUGCCGCAUCAGGGAAUGGAGUCACAAGCACUUGCCGUUGCCGUUACAUUUCCUGUCGUGUUUCCCUCACAAGCAAUCAACCAACCAGUCAACCCUGCAGACCAGAAGGACAGGCAGACUGAGAACCACUCAGAACAAGAUGGGGUGGCAUUUGGCAUGCUGACUAAAACUAAGAGGAUGUUAACCAGAGAGACACUGGUGCUCCUCCAGCCUUCAGUUUUUGGAGGCAACUGUAUUACCAAUAAAUCACCAGAAGGAUAGUCCAACCUACCAACCAGUAUAAUAUAAUGCAUAUAUAAUAAAGAUGUAAGACAUUAAG